UACAGCAGGGCUGUGUGUGUUCUGGGAUGACAACAGAGGGAACUGGAGCACAGACGGGUGCAACACCUCACUUUUAGAAGACGGUUUUCUCUGUAGCUGUGAUCACCUGAGCUUUUUUGCCAUCCUCAUUAUGUCUCCUGGAGACGAGACGCUCAGCGAUGAUGACCUGCGCCGCUUGAGCUACAUUCAGUACUGCGGCUCGGCUCUGACCGUCAUCCUGACUGCACUCACCUGCUUAAUGUACCUGAGACAGAGGUGAGCUCUC